AGGAAUUCCUUUUUCGCACAAAACCUAAAAGGAAAGAGUUUUUUAUUGGACUGACAGACCAGGUGGUGGAGGGUCAGUGGCGAUGGGUGGAUGAUACACCUUUCACAGAAUCCCUGAGCUUCUGGGAUGCUGGGGAGCCCAACAAUAUAGUUUUAGUGGAGGACUGCGCCACCAUAAGGGACUCUUCAAACUCCAGGAAGAACUGGAAUGAUAUACCCUGUUUCUACAGUAUGCCUUGGAUUUGUGAGAUGCCAGAAAUAAGUCCUUUGGACUAAGUGCAAGGGAAUACAAGGGACAUGGCUUACAUGCAUGAAGAAGAACAAGAGUGAAUGUAACAACAACCAAAAUCCAGCACGAGAAAAUGUCCAUCAGGCAUCAGAAGGGCUGCACAUCUAUGUGUUACUAGGACAUAAGUAAAAUGACUUGUUCCCAUUGCUAAAAGCCCAUGGCAUUGCCUGAUGGUCUCGCCAUAACCUGAAAGUCCUCUUUUUAGACUGUACAGAUCAAUUCUCUAACAAACGCAACAAGAAGAAAGGGAUUCUCCUUUUCACAUCUGUCUUGNACAUCGGUCUUGCUCAUGAGAAUUGAUAUGAAGGAACAGGUAGAAAGCACAUGUCUGUAGAAAGAGACUUUGAUGGUCACUUCGUCAUCCUCUUCUUUCUACAUCCUUGGGUCUAGCUUAUCUCCUCACACCAUCGGUACAUAGAUCACUUCUGUGUUCUCCAACAGUGAGGAAGAUGCAUCUUUGAGUCUUCAAACUUACCUGCCGCAUGGGAGAACGGCAUGGCUUUCAGCGAGGACAUCUCCAUAUGGAAAGGCCAGUCAAACCUCAGUUUCUAACAGACUGUGAUCUAGUCCACACUUCCUGGANCCCCAUUUUCUCUGUGUUCUCUUCUAUCAACUGGAUUUCACCUGUACUUGUAUCUACUGUGCAAGUAGAAUCUGCUCAGUAGGUUCAAAGUGAAAUUAUCCUUUAAAAUUCAUUUUCACAUUUUUCUGUCUCAGGACUGCAUUUAUUGCAUGAUAUUCUGUCAAUAUAGACCAUGUUUCUUCCAGACAAAGCCCUAAAGGAACCUUCAGCAGCAGUCACACAUUGUAAUAAACAUGUAUCCUUGAGUAGGAAAAUUAAACUAAAUAAAUUAAUUUG